rnacentral:lncRNA from 1 species
AGGUAUAUACGGAAAACCAAAAGCCCACUCAUUGAUAUGUCGAAGGGUCGUAGCCCUCGAGCCUCGAUUGAUGACACUCGUCCUCGGGAUAGGUCUCACCUAUAUGUGAAAUAACUGAAUAAAUGUUAUUUAAAGCACAUACACAAAACUAGGAAAUAACUUCUCAUACAUUGCUCAAAUGGGGUAUUUGAAUAUACCACCAUGACCUACUCAUCCUCAGAAACAUCCCCAUAUUUUUAGAAAUUUUUUUCGACCACUCACGCGCUGCCACGCGUGGGCCAAGGCACGGCCAGAUGAGCCCCCACGCGCGGCCAAACCCUAACUGAAACUUAACUGCCGUUAGGAAUAUUCCGUUAAACCUUAAUAGAAGUUAACGGCGUUACCUGACACCAUUAGAAUAUUCUGUCAGACUUGACAGAAUAUUCUCCUUCGUUUUCCUUGGUUUGCAGGAGAAUUUCGCCGGCGCCGCACGAUCACCGAAACUGGAAAAUAUAUAAACCUUCAUAUCUCGCUCAUUUUCCCACCAAAACUCAUGAAAUUUGUACCAAAAUGAAGCUUAGGACUAGAAGAACAAAACCUUACCACUUUCAAGCCUUGAAUUCCACGGAAUCUCGCCAGAGAAACCUCAAUAUUUCGGCCAAACUUGAAACUUGUCAAACUCAACUUCCCGACGUCCAAUUCACUUCGUUUUUCUUCUCCAAGCUUCGUGAAGAUGUCCUAA